rnacentral:rRNA from 1 species
AUGGCGAACCUCCUCUCCUCGGCCCCGAUCCACGCGUCGCUCCCGGACUGCUUCGUCUUCCCGCCCGAUCAGCGCCCGCCGGCCUCCUCUCAGGCCGUCUCCCUCCCGGUCAUCGACCUCUCUCGCGGCCGCGACGAGGUCCGCCGCGCCGUCCUCGACGCCGGCAAGGAGCUCGGGUUCUUCCAGGUGGUCAACCACGGCGUCUCUGCGGAGGCGAUACGGGACAUGGAGGCGGUGUGCGCGGAGUUCUUCCGGCUCCCUGCGGAGGAGAAGGCGGCCUUCUACUCGGAGGACACGGACAAGCCCAACCGGCUCUUCUCCAGCACCACCUACGAGCUCGGCGAUGAGAAGUACUGGCGGGACUGCCUCCGCCUCGCUUGCGGCUCGCCCGUCGGCGACACCAAGAACAACUGGCCCGACAAGCCCAAAAAGCUCCGCGAGGUGGUGGAGAAGUUCGUGGAGCCGACGAGAGGCGUGGGGAUGGAGCUGCUGCGGCUGCUGUGCGAGGGCAUGGGGCUCCGUCCGGACUACUUCGAAGGGGACCUCACCGGCGGCAACGUGAUCAUCAACGUUAACCACUACCCGCCGUGCCCUGCCCCGGGCCUGACGCUCGGCCUGCCGCCCCACUGCGACCGGAACCUCAUCACUCUCCUGCUCCAGAGCACCGUGCCCGGCCUCCAGGUCUCCUACAAGGGCGACUGGAUCAACGUCGAGUCCGUGCCCAACGCCUUCGUCGUCAACUUCGGCCACCUGCUCGAGAUUGCGACCAACGGGGUUUUGAAGAGCAUCGAGCACCGGGCGAUGACCAACGCCGCGCUGGCACGGACGUCGGUGGCGACGUUCAUCAUGCCGGCCGCGGACAUCCCCAUCGGCCCAGCGGAGGAGCUCGUCGGCGAGGGCAACCCGCCGCGCUACCGCACUGUCACUUUCGACGAGUUCAUGCGCGUGUACAAGACCGUCGGCGCGCGGAGGGAGAGCGUGGAGAAGGCCUUCAAGCUUUAG